GGUAGAGAGAAGCUUGCUUCUCUUGAGAGCGGCGGACGGGUGAGUAAUGCCUAGGAAUCUGCCUGGUAGUGGGGGAUAACGUUCGGAAACGGACGCUAAUACCGCAUACGUCCUACGGGAGAAAGCAGGGGACCUUCGGGCCUUGCGCUAUCAGAUGAGCCUAGGUCGGAUUAGCUAGUUGGUGAGGUAAUGGCUCACCAAGGCGACGAUCCGUAACUGGUCUGAGAGGAUGAUCAGUCACACUGGAGCUGAGACACGGUCCAGACUCCUACGGGAGGCAGCAGUGGGGAAUAUUGGACAAUGGGCGAAAGCCUGAUCCAGCCAUGCCGCGUGUGUGAAGAAGGUCUUCGGAUUGUAAAGCACUUUAAGUUGGGAGGAAGGGCAUUAACCUAAUACGUUAGUGUUUUGACGUUACCGACAGAGUAAGCACCGGCUAACUCUGUGCCAGCAGCCGCGGUAAUACAGAGGGUGCAAGCGUUAAUCGGAAUUACUGGGCGUAAAGCGCGCGUAGGUGGUUUGUUAAGUUGGAUGUGAAAUCCCCGGGCUCAACCUGGGAACUGCAUUCAAAACUGACUGACUAGAGUAUGGUAGAGGGUGGUGGAAUUUCCUGUGUAGCGGUGAAAUGCGUAGAUAUAGGAAGGAACACCAGUGGCGAAGGCGACCACCUGGACUAAUACUGACACUGAGGUGCGAA
rnacentral:rRNA from 1 species